AGAGUUUGAUCAUGGCUCAGGAUGAACGCUAGCGAUAGGCCUAACACAUGCAAGUCGAGGGGCAGCACAUGAAGUAGCAAUACGGAUGGUGGCGACCGGCGCACGGGUGAGUAACGCGUAUGCAACCUACCUACAACAGGGGAAUAACCCGUUGAAAGACGGACUAAUACCCCAUAAUACAGGGGUCCCGCAUGGGAAUAUUUGUUAAAGAUUUAUCGGUUGUAGAUGGGCAUGCGUUCCAUUAGCUAGUUGGUGAGGUAACGGCUCACCAAGGCAACGAUGGAUAGGGGAACUGAGAGGUUUAUCCCCCACACUGGUACUGAGACACGGACCAGACUCCUACGGGAGGCAGCAGUGAGGAAUAUUGGUCAAUGGACGCAAGUCUGAACCAGCCACGUCGCGUGAAGGAAGACGGCCCUAUGGGUUGUAAACUUCUUUUGUAAGGGAAUAAAGUGCAGUACGUGUACUGUUUUGCAUGUACCUUACGAAUAAGGAUCGGCUAACUCCGUGCCAGCAGCCGCGGUAAUACGGAGGAUCCGAGCGUUAUCCGGAUUUAUUGGGUUUAAAGGGUGCGCAGGCGGGAGAUUAAGUCGGCGGUGAAAUUUUGCAGCUUAACUGUAAAAGUGCCAUCGAUACUGGUUUCCUUGAGUGUAGAUGAAGUAGGCGGAAUUUGUGGUGUAGCGGUGAAAUGCAUAGAUAUCACGAGGAACUCCGAUUGCGCAGGCAGCUUACUAAACUACUACUGACGCUCAGGCACGAAGGCGUGGGGAUCAAACAGGAUUAGAUACCCUGGUAGUCCACGCAGUAAACGAUGAUUACUCGCUGUUUGCGAUAUACAGUAAGCGGCUUAGCGAAAGCGUUAAGUAAUCCACCUGGGGAGUACGUUCGCAAGAAUGAAACUCAAAUGAAUUGACGG
rnacentral:rRNA from 1 species